rnacentral:rRNA from 1 species
UACGAAGGGUGCGAGCGUUAAUCGGAAUUACUGGGCGUAAAGCGUGCGCAGGCGGCUUUGCAAGACAGAUGUGAAAUCCCCGGGCUUAACCUGGGAACUGCAUUUGUGACUGCAUGGCUGGAGUGCGGCAGAGGGGGAUGGAAUUCCGCGUGUAGCAGUGAAAUGCGUAGAUAUGCGGAGGAACACCGAUGGCGAAGGCAAUCCCCUGGGCCUGCACUGACGCUCAUGCACGAAAGCGUGGGGAGCAAACAGG